GGGUAGUUGGCUGAGUAGGUUAAAGCGCUAUUUUGCUAAAAUAGUUGUACUUAAGUACUGGAUUGGUUCGAAUCCAAUACUACCCG
rnacentral:tRNA from 2 species